UGCUAGCCCCGGGAGGAGCGACAUCCUUUGCUGCCGGGGUUCGGCAGCAAAGAUAUAGCGGAUCACGGGACAAUGU
rnacentral:sRNA from 1 species